UACGGAGGGUGCGAGCGUUGUCCGGAAUCACUGGGCAUAAAGGGUGCGUAGGUGGCUUGCUAAGUCAGUGGUGAAAUCGUCCGGCCCAACCGGACACGUGCCAAUGAUACUGGUGAGCUCGAGUGCGUGAGGGGUAGGGGGAACGAGCAGUGUAGCGGUGAAAUGCGUAGAUAUUGCUCGGAAGGCCAAAGCCGAAGGGACCCUACUGGUGCGCAACUGACACUGAGGCACGGAAAGCGUGGGGAGCAAACAGG
rnacentral:rRNA from 1 species